UACGAAGGGGGCUAGCGUUGCUCGGAAUCACUGGGCGUAAAGCGCACGUAGGCGGAUUGUUAAGUCAGAGGUGAAAUCCUGGAGCUCAACUCCAGAACUGCCUUUGAUACUGACGGUCUUGAGUCCGGGAGAGGUGAGUGGAACUCCGAGUGUAGAGGUGAAAUUCGUAGAUAUUCGGAAGAACACCAGUGGCGAAGGCGGCUCACUGGCCCGGUACUGACGCUGAGGUGCGAAAGCGUGGGGAGCAAACAGG
rnacentral:rRNA from 1 species